ACCCCUGCAAGUCGAACGUGAAAGCCCCUUCGGGGGUGAGUAAAGUGGCGAACGGGUGAGUAAUGCAUAGGCAAUCUGCCCCCGGAUUCGGGAUAACAACUCGAAAGGGUUGCUAAUACCGGAUAAUGUUUUCAGCGGGCAUCCGUUGAAAACCAAAGGUGGCCUCUCGCUUCCGUCCAGGGAGGAGCCUAUGUCCCAUUAGCUUGUUGGUGAGGUAACGGCUCACCAAGGCCGCGAUGGGUAGCCGGCCUGAGAGGGUGUACGGCCACACUGGGACUGAGAUACGGCCCAGACUCCUACGGGAGGCAGCAGUGAGGAAUAUUGCGCAAUGGGCGAAAGCCUGACGCAGCAACGCCGCGUGUGCGAUGAAGCCCUUCGGGGUGUAAAGCACUGUUUGCAGGGAAGAAGUGGACUAUUUCCUAAUACGAGUGGUCCUUGACGGUACCUGCCGAGAAAGCCCCGGCUAACUCCGUGCCAGCAGCCGCGGUAAUACGGAGGGGGCAAGCGUUGUUCGGAA
rnacentral:rRNA from 1 species